UACGUAGGGGGCAAGCGUUGUCCGGAAUCAUUGGGCGUAAAGAGCGUGUAGGCGGCCCGAUAAGUCCGCCGUGAAAGCCCAGGGCUCAACCCUGGGAUGCCGGUGGAUACUGUCGGGCUAGAGUUCGGAAGAGGCAAGUGGAAUUCCUGGUGUAGCGGUGAAAUGCGCAGAUAUCAGGAGGAACACCUAUGGCGAAGGCAGCUUGCUGGGACGACACUGACGCUGAGACGCGAAAGCGUGGGGAGCGAACAGG
rnacentral:rRNA from 1 species